CCUACGGGUGGCAGCAGUGGGGAAUAUUGCGCAAUGGGCGAAAGCCUGACGCAGCGACGCCGCGUGAGGGAUGAAGGUCUUCGGAUCGUAAACCUCUGUCAGCAGGGAAGAACGGUCACUGUGCUAAUCAGCAGUGAAUUGACAGUACCUGCAAAGGAAGCACCGGCUAACUCCGUGCCAGCAGCCGCGGUCAUACGGAGGGUGCGAGCGUUAAUCGGAAUUACUGGGCGUAAAGCGCUCGUAGGCGGUAUGUCAAGUCAAGGGUGAAAUCCCCGCGCUCAACGUGGGAACUGCCUUUGAAACUGGCAAACUGGAGUGUGUGAGAGGAUAGUGGAAUUCCAGGUGUAGGAGUGAAAGCCGUAGAUAUCUGGAGGAACAUCAGUGGCGAAGGCGACUAUCUGGCACAUAACUGACGCUGAGGAGCGAAAGCGUGGGUAGCAAACAGGAUUAGAUACCCUAGUAGUC
rnacentral:rRNA from 1 species